rnacentral:rRNA from 1 species
UUUUAUUUGAGAGUUUGAUCCUGGCUCAGGAUGAACGCUGGCGGCGUGCCUAACACAUGCAAGUUGAGCGAUUUACUUCGGUAAAGAGCGGCGGACGGGUGAGUAACGCGUGGGUAACCUACCCUGUACACACGGAUAACAUACCGAAAGGUAUGCUAAUACGGGAUAAUAUAUUUGAGAGGCAUCUCUUGAAUAUCAAAGGUGAGCCAGUACAGGAUGGACCCGCGUCUGAUUAGCUAGUUGGUAAGGUAACGGCUUACCAAGGCGACGAUCAGUAGCCGACCUGAGAGGGUGAUCGGCCACAUUGGAACUGAGACACGGUCCAAACUCCUACGGGAGGCAGCAGUGGGGAAUAUUGCACAAUGGGCGAAAGCCUGAUGCAGCAACGCCGCGUGAGUGAUGAAGGCCUUCGGGUC